UACGUAGGGGGCGAGCGUUGUCCGGAGUUACUGGGCGUAAGGCGCACGCAGGCGGUCUGCUAAGUUUGGAGUGACAGUUGGUGGCUUAACUGCCAAAGUGCUUCGAAAACUGACAGACUUGAGGGCUUCAGAGGGACACGGAAUUCCGGGUGUAGUGGUGGAAUGCGUAGAGAUCCGGAGGAACACCAGCGGCGAAGGCGGCAUCCUGGACUGGUCCUGACGCUCAGGAGCGAAAGCGUGGGGAGCGAUCCGG
rnacentral:rRNA from 1 species